rnacentral:rRNA from 1 species
UGGGGAAUCUUCCGCAAUGGACGAAAGUCUGACGGAGCAACGCCGCGUGUAUGAUGAAGGUCUUCGGAUUGUAAAGUACUGUCAUUGGGGAAGAACGGUUUUCUUGAAAAGAUUGAGAAGACAUGACGGUACCCAAGGAGGAAGCCCCGGCUAACUACGUGCCAGCAGCCGCGGUAAUACGUAGGGGGCAAGCGUUGUCCGGAAUUAUUGGGCGUAAAGGGCGCGUAGGCGGGCCUUUAAGUCCGGUGUGAAAGAUCAGGGCUCAACCCUGAGAGUGCAUCGGAAACUGGAGGCCUUGAGGACAGGAGAGGAAAGUGGAAUUCCACGUGUAGCGGUGAAAUGCGUAGAUAUGUGGAGGAACACCAGUGGCGAAGGCGACUUUCUGGACUGUAACUGACGCUGAGGCGCGAAAGCGUGGGGAGCAAACAGGAUUAGAUACCCUGGUAGUCCACGCCGUAAACGGUGAGUGCUAGGUGUAGAGGGUAUCGACCCCUUCUGUGCCGCAGUUAACACAAUAAGCACUCCCGCCUGGGGAGUACGGCCGCAAGGUUGAAACUUAAUGAAUUGACGGGGUCAUAGCUGUUUCCU